rnacentral:rRNA from 1 species
UACGUAGGGUGCGAGCGUUAAUCGGAAUUACUGGGCGUAAAGGGCGCGUAGGCGGCCAUCUAAGUCAGACGUGAAAUCCCCCGGCUUAACCUGGGAACUGCGUCUGAUACUGGACGGCUCGAGUAUGGGAGAGGGAUGUAGAAUUCCAGGUGUAGCGGUGAAAUGCGUAGAUAUCUGGAGGAAUACCGGUGGCGAAGGCGGCAUCCUGGACCAUUUACUGACGCUGAGGCGCGAAAGCUAGGGGAGCAAACGGG